ACGAACAUUUGGGAAGAAAGUUAAACCGGUCUAAUAAACGAGAAUUAACAUGAAAGUCAAUGGGGAAAUCAUUAGGGAUGUGUGGACUGUGGCCCUAAAACCAUCGAUGACCUUCAACUUGCUAAGGCCUCACUGUGAAAGCCGGAAGUGAACCAUGGCGAUGCGACAUACCUUAACAGAAUGACGUGAAUUUAUAAUCUUCUGGCUUUAAUUAUGAUGUCUGUGGUAUUAUAAAGUAUGUUUCGGUUUUAGUGAAACUAUGCCGUAUUUGAGUAAUGGGUUAGAUAUAUGUAGUUGUAAUUGACUGGUCAGUCAGUAUGACCACAGAAGAUCUACUACUACCAAAUCAGUUGGUAAAGGAAAGAUGGAAAGUGUUAAAGAAGAUAGGAGGAGGAGGAUUUGGGGAAAUUUACGAGGCCACAGAUUCAGUUAGCAAAGAAUCUGUAGCAUUAAAACUUGAAUCUGCCAAACAACCAAAGCAAGUUCUGAAAAUGGAAGUAGCUGUACUGAAAAAACUACAAGGAAAAGAUCAUGUAUGCCGAUUUAUUGGUUGUGGUAGAAAUGAGAAAUACAAUUAUGUUGUCAUGUCACUUCAAGGAAAAAACCUGGCUGAAUUACGUCGUGGUCAGGCUAGAGGCUGUUUUAGUUUAAGUACAACAUUACGUUUAGGAGCACAAAUACUGAAAGCCAUUGAAUCCAUACAUGAAGUUGGUUUCCUACAUCGAGAUAUCAAACCCUCAAAUUUUGCCAUGGGUAAACCACCAAGUAAUAGUCGUAAAGUUUAUAUGUUAGAUUUUGGAUUAGCAAGACAAUAUACUACAGCUUCUGGACAAGUUCGACCACCAAGAGCUGCUGCAGGAUUCCGUGGAACUGUUAGAUAUGCUUCAGUUAAUGCUCAUAAAAAUAAGGAAAUGGGUCGUCAUGAUGAUCUUUGGUCAUUAUUUUAUAUGUUGGUUGAGUUUGUGGUUGGUCAAUUGCCCUGGAGGAAAAUUAAAGAUAAAGAACAAGUUGGUUUGAUGAAAGAAAAAUAUGAACAUAUUCAACUUCUUAAAAAUAUGCCCUCGGAAUUCCGUGCCAUAUUAGAACAUAUUCAGAAAUUAGAGUACUUUGAUAAACCUGACUACCCAAUGCUGCAUAAUUUGAUAGAACAAUGUAUGAGACGUAAAAAUAUCAAAGAAUCUGAUGGGUACGAUUGGGAGAAAAACUAUGGUGAUACAUCAAUAACAUUAACUACAACAUCACAACAAGUGGCCAUUAAACAAACAGUAGGACAGCCAGGUUUGGUACAAGUCGGUCCUAAUACACCCCAUGGUGCGACAGAAGUGUUAGACGUUAAUCUAAGUCAAGAAGAUGGUGAGGACAAGAAACUACCAGUUGAUCUGAUUAUUAACGACAAUCGAUAUCAAAGGGAGGUAGAUAAUCGUCUGAAGGAAGAAAAUGGCGAUCCAGCACUCUCCCCUAAACUUCAACGAGAAGAAACAGAAAAAGAAAUCAAAUAUGAACCAGAACAAAAAACUAAGGACACCUUUGACAAAGACUUGGGUAAUUCUGGCACAAAAGAAGGUAAAAGUACAGAGGUGACGUCUGGUUCGAAACAUAAAGAGAUGAAUAAUGAUUGUAAAGAGAACCAUGAAAGUAGUAAAUCAAAUCAAAAUGAUGAUAAUAAUCAUAAAUCUAGUGCUCACAAAAAACACAUCAUAGAAUCAAACGAACAUGACAGUGGGUCUAAAGAACCACUGGAUAUAUGUAAAUUAAAACCAAAUGAUAACCAAGUUCCGCCUGCCGCCAUUUUACCUAUAUCGUAUUCUAAUGAAAACAUGGAGAGUGUAGAUAGAAAUAGACACUCCAAAAUAUUAUCUAGUAAAAACGUCACAGUUGAUAUGGAUGACGAUGACAAUUUACCAGUCACAUAUCAGAUGAGUAAAGCAGCCGUGACAUUUGCCCUAAUGCAGACAGAAGAUAAAACUCAUACUGUAGGAGACGAUAAUAUAGAUGAAAAUGCUACAAGAGCGGCACCUUUCACAGUUGCUAGUCAGUUAGGUGGUGUGUCUGCUUUCGGUUCAAGCGGAGAAGAAAGCGAUGCUGAGCAAAGUGAUGAGGAUGAGAUUGCUAAGGGGGCUGAGUGUCAAGGUCAUUUCAAACUACCCAAAAGUCGGUCACGGAAACACUUAAUGAAUACUCUAGGCGAUGAUGAUGACAAUAAUUUUGACAGUGUUACACGGAACUCCUUGAUUUUAUUAGAUGAUAAAGAAACAAAAACCAAUAAUCGGGGUUCUUUAGUAUUUGAUGAUGAUGAUAGUGAUUUUUUGAAUAUUCGAACUAGUGCUACAAAAACAGACGAUGCUGAUAAAUAUUGUGCAGUAGGUUUAAAUGAUAUUGGUAAUAUAAUGAGCUCAGAUUAUGCCAGAAGUGUUGGUAAUCGUUCAAAUAGUUAUUCUAGUCCACGAAAAAUGCCCCAACAAUUUGUAAAGGGUCUUGGUAAUAUGAUAGGUCAGGGUUCAACAUCGAGACUUUUAAUCAAAGGACGGGAAAAUUCAAUGGAUGACAAAAAACUGGGAAAAGUGCAAGCCAAAAGUCAAGUAGGUAAACCGCCACUUUAUUAUCUAGGUAAAAAGGACAAAAACUUAGAGGAUUAUUCACACGGAAACCUUUCUGAUAAUGUUAGUCGAAUUUCCAAAAAUUCCCAUACUGUUGACAAUGAAACUGCUAGAAAUAAUUCUGAAAUGAUAACAGUUCGACGUAGAAGUAAGGUUUUAGAUAAUCAAGAGGCAGUGAUGAUUCAUGGAAGUGUAAAUAAAGGAGUUAUGGAUGGUACUAUAUGCAACGAUAGUGAAGUUAUACCUAGUGCUAUUAGACAAUUACCUUCUAAACAAUCUAGUGUAGACAGCAAAAGAUCACCGACUAGAAUCCCCAUUAAAAAGCGUUCAGUUUCUAUGUCUCGUACAACAUCUAAAGAACUUGCCGAAGCACUUGCUACUUUAAGUCCCAGAUCUGAUGGUGGAGAAUCUUCACGAAUACCCCAACCCCCACCUGGAGCCCCCAGGGCCAGUAAUGCUAGGCGACGUCGCUAUAAAGUGGCAUCUGCCAACACAAGUCCACGCGAACCUACAUCACCGUGAGCAUGUUUUCUACAUAUUUCCUUGUUGUCUGUGUGUCCGUCCAUCAAAUGUGUUUCCUUUUGUCUUCCCAAGCAUCAUACUAUACAGCUGAAUAAAGUCAUGAGUAGGCUUGUACUAACUGAUGAUGAAGAAGAAGAAUGUGAAACCAACUUAUAAUAUGAUAAUGUGAUCUAUUAUCUGCUUAUUGUGCUUAUAAUCCUAGUAUAAUAUGAUAUAAUGUGAUAUUACAAUGUGUUCUUAUAAAACUGAUAUAUUAUCGGUCAUUUAAUUAUCUUUUUGAAAAGACAAUCAAAUUACGACUAUAAACUUACUUUUUUUUCUCUUUUUUUAUUGCCUCAUUGAAAUAUUAGAUAAUUAAAAUUAUUCGAAUUUGUAGAUAAUUCAUUUCUAAUCGAAAUAUUUAAAGUUCAGUCUUCUUUAACAUUUAUUAAUUAGAUGGAAGAAGUCCCUUUACUACCACUAGUGGGGGUGGGGGUGUGGAUGAUCGAAUGGUUAGCACAGUAUGUCAUUGAGUCAACUGGCGUUUCGAUUCAUGGGUUGUACGUGACAAGGUGUAGGGUCGCUUGUCCAACCUUGUGGGUUAUUGAAAUAAAAUUGAACCAUAUGUUAGUCCCGAUAUGACCUAGUUUGUGUCGAGUGGAGGUAAACCCCAUCUCUCUCUCUCUCUCUCUCUCUCUCUCUCUCUCUCACUACCACUAAACAUCUACCCCUCACUGCAAUAGUUGCUAUAAUGUAUGGUGUACAGCAAUUUCUCUUAUUCAUGCUCAUAAAUUUUGUCAGUUACAAUCAUUUGUCACUUUGCUUCUAUGUCAUUUCUAUAAAUUGAUCAUUGAACAGACUAUAAUAUUAUGUAUUAGAUAAAAUUUAUAAGAUAAUUUUCACAUUUCUGAUACCACUAAACUUGUAGGCGGUGCUAGAUUAUCAGUCCAGAAUGUCCGGAAUUAACAGAAUUGCAAUCGAGUGGUGUAGAAUUCAGUGGUGUGAGUAGAAUCGUGAUGUAUUUAAACACAUUGAAUAUGUUUCAGCUGUCAUGGUUGAUAGAGAUAUUUUCUUUUGCAGUAGCCUGAAAUUCAACUUUUCACUCGAUUGUCAUUAUUUUGGUGAUUUAGAAAAUUCGAUCCCGGAACGUUCAAUUGAGUAUUCCCAUAGUAAUUUGUUAAACAAGGGGAGACUACUUAAUUGUAUGAUUUACACCCUAACUUGAUUAGAGAAUAGUUGAUAUAUUGGUAACAGUUGAUAUAUUGGUAAUUUAUCCAAUAGAUUUGGGUUUUUUUUCAUAGUUUACAGUAAUCAUCAUAGUCAUCCCAGUACUUUUCAUCUUUGGUUCAGUUUUAAGAUACAAGAUUAUCUCUUGUGUGAUAUUAUAUAAAACUAGGAUAUAUUCAGGGAUCUUAGUUUCUCAUAUAGUUAGUCCAUAUUAUUUAUAGAUAUCAAUUAGGAUGUAAGAUGCAUUAGAAGAAGAAGUUUUUAUUAUAGUGACAUAUGUUAUGUUAUAUACAAUAUAAUUUAUGACGUAGUUCAAACACCCGGCCUCUUGGGCCUAUUAGUCACUUUAAAUAUAAUUAAUAAUAAAGUAAAUGAGUACCUGUAAUAAUAUACAUAUUUGUAGUUAUUUUGUUAAGAGAUUAUUUAUGUAAGAACUGGAUAUAAAGCUGGCCGCUGUUGCUAUAGUAGUUUAAAAAUAUACUCUUCAAAAAAAGUAGGGGAUAUCCAGAAACAAUACAAAACUGCGGAAAUGCACUGCUGUUUUUAUUAGAGGUAACCAGUGUAUGUUAAUAACUGGCCAAUUGCCUACACAUGAACAUAAACAGUUCAUAUGGACGGCUUAUCUGAUGCAAAGAGAUACACCGUCAAAAGUGAAAAUGGACGUUUUUUAUUUUUGUCUUAAUAAUGAGUAAUUGCUCCACCAAUCCUCAGACAUUCAGCAAUUCGUCGUGGCAUGCUCCUAAUUAACCGUCCAAUCACGAUUUGGGGCAAUCUGACCCACUCCCCUUGCAGUGCCACAGCCAAUUCUUGUAGUGUUGUCAGUUGACGUUGACGUCGAUUAACACGUCUCCCGAUCAAAUUAAACGUAACACAUAAAGCAAAGAUACGCUAAACAGUAAAUCUUAUGCAAGAACCGAUAGGAAAGCAAACAUGGAUAGGAUAAACCAGCACGCGGUAGUUUUCAUCAACGCUUCCUUGAAGUGUCAAAUUUGACAAUGGACCCCUCCCACGUGUAUGGCGCUAUUGCGUGUCGCAUGUGCAGCUCAGUGAUUCUAUUGGGGCGAUAAGUUGUUCAUCUGUGAACAUACUCUUAAAGCAUGUCAAGUGUCCAUGACUAUUUAUCAUAUCACAACCUGUAUAGGUAUUUGCAUUUCAAUAUCCCCUACUUUUUUUUGAAGAGUAUAUAUAGAAUAUGAAAAUUUAAUAUCUUAGCCAUCCAAUGAUCUACAGAAUUGGUUAUGAGAUUGUCAUGGGAAUAGAUGUCUAAAUGAUAAUUUAUAUAACAUUUGAAGCCAAAAAAAGACAUGCAUAAUCCAUCCUUAAUUCUGCUGUUUGUUUAGUUUAUAUGAAAUAUUACAAUAAAUUUAAAAUCAAAAUAACUUCUCAGAACAAUCAAAUUUAAUUAAAUCAACACUGUCAUUUUUCACUGAAUUCAAAGUGGUCAUGUACAUUUAAUUUUGAAUUCUGUAUAUUGAAUAAUUAUGAGUACUCGGACAAUUAUGCUAUAGCAAAUGGGGGUCGGGUGAUCGAGUGGUUUAAUGUAAACGCUUUAUAAGAUCUGAAAAGUAGCAUGAUUUCAACCCCACGCUGAAUAUGACAAGGAGUAGGGCUGGCUACCCCUAAGUGCAAUCAGUUUAUUGAAAUGAAAUAAAACCAUAUUAUGUUAGUCCCAAAAUGACCUACAUGUAGUUUGUGUUGAGUGGAUGUUGAACCAAAUUUUUCUCUCUAUGGUGUAGCGAGGUUUACUGUAAAUUCAUGUGAAAUACAUUUUUUCGUUACAAUGUACUUCAAAGAAGAGUUCCAAAAUUCAAUUUUGGUGUUUUUGUCACUGCUGAGUUUUCAAUAAUGUGGUCAAAGAUGGUUAAUAUUUUAUUAGGUUUAAUUAAACCAUAAUUGUCCUAAAAAAAACUUUUUGAAAUUAACCUUUUCACUUUAAAAACCCUUCUCUAUAUCUGAGUAUGUAUCUCUUUUGGACUGACAGCAUUUAAGAUGUAUUUUCACACCUGUAGUUUGGACACAUGUAAAUUGUAUCAGUAUUGAAUUAACUAGAAACAAAAUGUUGUAUGGAGAACUGUUAAAAUGGUAACAGAAAGUUAUGUAGAUGAUUUCACAAUUAGAAAUAAUGUAAAUUCAGUUUGAUUUAUCAAUAUAUGUAUGGGUAUUGUCUAGUUGCUAGGCAAUUUUAAAUGAUGACCUGCGGCAUAUUAUAGUAUCAGAUAAAAAAAGAAAUGAUUUAUGUUUAUGUCAUUGUUUCAUCUUCAGUAACAUUUUCAUUCCUAAUUAUUUCCAAGUGCCAUGUUAUUUAUUUAUUUUUUUUUUGAAAGACUUGCCUCCCUUGUUUUCUUUUUUCAGUUUGACUAUUUUGUACUUUAGUAAUCUCACUAGUGUGUUUGUAGGUGUUUCGUCAAUAAAAUGAAAUAUCAGAAGAAAGAUCUUGAUUUGUUCUGACUAGGUGUUUCAUUUAAAAAUAUCCGAGGGUGGAAAUCAGAGGAAGGGUUGAAGUUGAAGCCAUGGAUACAUUUUAAUUGAGAGGAAAAUUUCCCCAAAUCCACUAUCCUUUUCCUGUAUAUUUUGAUAUGUUUAGUAAUGUAUAUUUAUGUAAUAAAGGGGGAUGAAUUUAUUAGUUUAUAUCAUUUGUUAAAGAUCUGUUAUGUUUGAAUAUUUUGUUGAUUUUAGCUUAUUUUUCUUGUGUUUGUUUUUUAAAAACUGUAUUUUGUGUAAAGAGGAAUGAAUUUACAUGGUAUUUUAUUAAGUUACAAUUUUUGAAAGACCUUUGUGAAAAGUAAAAUGUAUGAUAUCAUGCACACUAAGUAAGUUACUAAAAGCACAAAUUAAUUGUUACAAAAAUAUAUUUUGACUGAGACAAGAAAAUUAUUGGACAUGACAGAGUAAAUGAAUGAAUACCAGAUUUAAAUUAAACUAAGCUAAUGAAUAGUCCACUCUCAUUGUCUAUAUUGUAAAGCCUUUGUGGGAAUCAGUUCUAUAUGAUUUAAUAUCUAUUGUGAUUCUAUUUCACGAACUGUUAUCUAUAUAGCAACCCUACUGAUCAGUAUUUUGUCUGUACCGGGUAUGUCUCAAUUACGAGUUUAGUGAAAACUAAUAUUUGUGAACAUACCACUAGAUAUCUCACAAUUUUAUUGAAGCGGUGUUGUUUUCAUUUUCAAAUUAGGAUAAUUUAUACCAGAAAUAGUAUAAUUAAUACUUAAAUUAAUUCUAUAUAAAUUAACUUAUAAUAAUACAUUUUUUAAUAUUUUUAGUUAAUAACACAACACAUUUAUAUUGAUAACAAUUACUGGUUAUUUACCAGUGAUGUUUCAACAAUAGUCUUGAUAAAGCGAUACUGACAAGAGAGAGCACCCUCGUUGAAACAUCGUCACUAAAGAUACAAGUAUUUGUUAUUAAUUAAAUGUGUUCUGUUAUUACCUAUCAAUUACUAAAAUACCACUUAACAUUACCUUUGAACAUAAUGUAUGUUUUAAGGCAAAAUCUAAUAAUUGAUUAUUUCAAAGUUAGAUCAAUGAUAUCCAUCAAUAACAAUUCAUGGAAGCUACUAUAUGUAUAUAUAAUUUCUUAGGAUCGGUAGUUGGAAAUAUUCUGUUACAUUGUCAGCAUUAUAUGUGCUAUUAUUUAUAAAUAGUCUACUAGGUAUUAAAUAACUACCAUACAUAAAGCCAAGAAGAGAAGUGAAAAUGUUAUACAGGCUAUAAGUAGUUAUACAUGUUUUAUAUAUGAUAUAAAUGAUCAGUCAGAUGUUAAUUGUGAUAAUGUAUAUUUAUUGUAAUGAAAGAUGGAGAUGUUGAAAGCAUUUAUUUGUGUUUUAAUUUCUUUAUUAUAAAGUAUAAUUUCAUCCUACAAGUGUAGACUACUCUUGAUCCAUAUGUUUGCAUGCAAGUAUGUACAUCACGCAAUAUUUGUAUGCUUUUAAUCUUAUGACAGCAGCAUGGAUGGUUGCUGAUUGCAAUAAAUAUAAAUACAGUG